UACAUGUGCACGAUAUGUAAAAAAAAGUUGUUUAAGCUCGUUGGUUACUACUUCUACAAAUCGUAGAAGACUAUUGGAAAAUAAUUUGCAGAUAAAGUGUCGCCGUACCUCUUUUGACGAAAAAACAUGUGGCUGCAAGAACAAAGUUCGCAAAAGGACAUUACAAUUGGCCAUCUACAAAAUGGAUAGAGAUCAUAGAGAUGAAAACUAUGCAUUGGUAAGGAUCGGGGUCAUAUGUAACCAGCGUAGUCACUGAACUUGAAUCCGAUCGAAAAUGUAUGGUAGUGUUAUUAAACUAAUUGUAGCAACAGCAAAUCCAUCAAGUGGAACAGUUGUAAGGAAGCCGUGGGAUGAAAUCCCCAUGGGCGGAUAUCAUGAUAUAAAAGACUUUACAGAACGUCGGUGUAUGGAUGUACCUAUUAAACAUAUAAAGGCUUUAAAUCACUUAUUAGUCAAUCGAAAAUAUUUACUACAUGACCGUUUCACAACAGUCGGGUCUAAAUAAUCGGAACGGACAAAGAUGAAAUGUUUCCUGUCGCUACAACAACAUUUAGUAUAUGACAUUUUAAAUGUGAACUCGUUUUUUGUUUUUUCUUCUACAAAGUAGUCACUACUGCUUUCGUGAACAGACUAAUUUUUUUUUUUUGUAAAUCUUGUUAGUAAAAAAUACAUAUGUAUAUAGUGAAAACAAAACUCUGUAUAUGCAUAAAAAUGGCUAAAAAUUACUUUUAGUUUAGAUUUUUAACCUUUUAUUAUCUUAUAUUUAGAAACCACCAGCACUACUAUUUCAAUGAACACAUACAGUGAUGUGCGAUGAAAUAAAGCCAUACAUUUUCUGAUGAUAUUAUUGCACUUAAUUUUUUUUUAAGAAUCUAACAUGCCAUGAACUAAUUGUAGUUCAGUACUCACAUCGUCUGUGUAUAUUUUCCCGUUACUUCCGAAUUCAACUUCUAGUUCAUUUUUAACAAAUCAGUGAAAAUGUGCUAUUAAUUGUGCAGCAACGUGUGCGUUAAAAUAGAGCCAACCGAUAAAGUAAAACUUUUAGUGACAUUAAAACAUAUUUAUACAAUAUAAUUUAUGGGCAAACGUGUGUAAAGGUUUCUAGUUUUUUGAAUUUGGAGUAAAUUUGGGUGUUUAAUUCUUUUAAGAUCUAAAAUAGGGUAGAGCCAAACACUGCAGCCCUGAAUGCAGAAAAUUUAUAAAAAAUUUAGAAAGCAAGGCAAAAGUCAAAGAGAAAUAGCUGGAUUAGUGGCUGCUCAAAAAAAUGGUUUAAAACGAGGUUUUGCGAAGGCGUAUCCUGCGUUACGUUAAAAAAGAUCCAUUUGUGACCACUUCCGCACUCAAAAAACAGUUUUCUUUGGAUGUGGAUACUUCAACAAUUAGAAAACUCUUAAUCAAAGAGAGUUUAAAGGCUAAAAAAGCUCGAACGUUUCCGUUUCUAAACAAAGAAAACGUAAAAAAACGAUUAAAAUUUGUCGAGGAUCAUGUGAACUGGCCAGCGAGCAAGUGGCGAAACAUUCUUUGAUCAGAUAAAAUAAAAGUGAAUUUAUUUAACACUGACCGAGGCAGCCUUACUGUGCGAAGGCCCCCCAAUACCGAAUUCUGCCCUCAACACGCUGAAAAAACGGUAAAACAUGGCGGUGGGAGUAUAAUGGUAUGGGGGUACUUUUCUUAUUAUGGGACUGRUCCUCUAUUUCGGAUAGAAGGUACAAUGGAUGCCUUGCAGUGCACUAGAAUUUACAAUGAAACUAUGUUGCCUUACACAGAGCUUAAUAUGCCGCUUCUAUGGGUGUUCCAGCAAGACAACGACCCAAAACCCACAUCGAAACGGGCAACAGAAUGGUUUAGUCAAAAUAACAUCCAAGUUCUAUGCUGGCGCCACAGUCGCCAGAUCUAAACCCAAUUGAAAAUUUGUGGCGAGAGGUUAAAGUGGCUCUUAGAGGAAAAAAUCCAACAAAUAAAGAUGCCCUUUGGAAACUAGUGAACGACGCAUGGGAGCAAAUUCCCGCUGCUAAGUGCCUGAAUCUAGUGGAUUCGAUGCCCAGGCGUUGCUCAGCAGUUAUAAAAAAUAAAGCAUACUGCACUAAAUAUUGAAGUCAUGAGAUACGACUGAAAUUGAAUAAUUACUUUUGGCUCUAUUUCAAGUCACAGCCGAAAUAAGA